rnacentral:ncRNA from 1 species
AUUUCGCGCCGCGCGACAGGUUCCCCAAAAGGGAUAUACGGGAAUGAGGUGAGGAACCUCAGCUGCCCCUGCAACUGUGAGCGGAUAGCCGCGCGCCACUAGCCAUUGGGAUCACAGGAUUCUGAGAAGGCGGCGCAUCCGGCCCUGACCCGCAAGCCAGGAGACCGGCCCGCCGCUGUCGUUCUUC